rnacentral:antisense_RNA from 1 species
CUCCUGAAAAAAAUAAUGAAAAUUAUUUUUUGCUGAUUGCCUAUUACAAAAGCCUAAA